AGCAGCCGCGGUAAUUCCAGCUCCAAUAGCGUAUAUUAAAGUUGUUGCAGUUAAAAAGCUCGUAGUUGAAUUUCGGGAUUGGCGCAUCGGUCGUGCCUCACGGGGUAUGAACUGGUGCAGUCAAUUUCUCACCUUCUGGAGAACCGCGAUGUCCUUAAUUGGAUGCCGCGGGGAACCAGGACCUUUACUUUGAAAAAAUUAGAGUGUUUAAAGCAGGCAUCUUUGCUUGAAUACAUUAGCAUGGAAUAAUAAAAUAGGACGGCAUGGUUCUAUUUUGUUGGUUUCUAGGACCACCGUAAUGAUUAAUAGGGAUAGUUGGGGGCAUUAGUAUUCAAUUGUCAGAGGUGAAAUUCUUGGAUUUAUUGAAGACUAACUACUGCGAAAGCAUUUGCCAAGGAUGUUUUCAUUAAUCAAGAACGAAAGUUAGGGGAUCGAAGACGAUCAGAUACCGUCGUAGUCUUAACCAUAAACUAUGCCGACUAGGGAUCGGAUGAUGUUAAUUUUUUAAUGACUCAUUCGGCGCCUUACG
rnacentral:rRNA from 1 species